rfam:Candidatus Portnoybacteria bacterium RIFCSPHIGHO2_12_FTLL_40_11 rifcsphigho2_12_scaffold_11499, whole genome shotgun sequence.
GCGAGAGUAGUUUAGCGGCAGAACAGUUCCUUCCCAAGGAACAAAUGGGGGUUCGAUUCCCCUCUCUCGCU